UCCUGCAUAGCUUAGUCAGUAAAGCAUCUUCCUGCAAUGUGGGAGACCUGAGUUCAAUUCCUGGGGCGGGAA
rnacentral:tRNA from 1 species